rnacentral:rRNA from 1 species
CAGUCGCCACGGGAAAACCAGCACCUCGAGUGGUCAGGAGGUUUAUUGGGCCUAAAGCAUCCGUAGCCGGUUGCAUAAGUUUUCGGUUAAAUCUAUGCGCUUAACGUAUAGGCCGCCGAAAAUACUGUGCAGCUAGGGAGUGGGAGAGGUACACGGUACUCGAUAGGAAGGGGUAAAAUCCUUUGAUCUAUUGAUGACCACCUGUGGCGAAGGCGGUGUACCAGAACACGUUCGACGGUGAGGGAUGAAAGCUGGGGGAGCAAACCGGAUUAGAUACCCGGGUAGUCCCUGUCUCUUAUAC